UACGGGAGGCAGCAGUGAGGAAUAUUGCUCAGUGGACGAAAGUCUGAAGCAGCAACGCCGCGUGAGGGAUGAAGGUGCUCUGCAUUGUAAACCUCUGUAGUCGGGGAAAAAUGGUGGGUUAUUACCCAUUUGAUGGUACCCGAAAAGUAAGGAUCGGCUAACUACGUGCCAGCAGCCGCGGUAAU
rnacentral:rRNA from 1 species